rnacentral:rRNA from 1 species
CGAACGGGUGCGUAACACGUGAGCAACCUACCGAUUUGUGGGGGAUAGCCGGCCCAGCGGCCGGGUAAUACCGCAUACGCUUGUACGGCCUCCUGGCCUAACAAGGAAACCUCCGGGGCAAAUCGAGGGGCUCGCGGCCUAUCAGCUAGUUGGCGAGGUCACGGCUCACCAAGGCGACGACGGGUAGCUGGUCUGAGAGGAUGGCCAGCCACAUUGGGACUGAGAAACGGCCCAG